rnacentral:rRNA from 1 species
AUGUUGGAGGGUCAAUCUUGCCUGAUCUCGAGGUCACUGCCCAGCUCCUGCGAACAGGAAUCCAGAUUAGCUUAUAUGACUUACCACCUCCUUGAGAUCACAAGGACUAAGCGCCCAUCUGGGGUCCUGGCUAUUGAACAUGAUGGAAUUGCUGUGGCGGCAGUGCUGGCAAAGCGGCCUAAGUCUGAGGAUAGCCAUGAUGCUGUGCCGGUAGACUGUCAGGGUGGUAAUCAGGGCUAUUCUGAUUCAAGCACACUGAUAAGUUCUAUUGGCAGAGAUAAUUCAAUCAAUUGUCUAGCCCGUUGCUCUCGGUCUGAUUAUGGCUCCAUUGCAUCACUGAGCCGGAACUUCCGUUCCCUUGUCCGUGAUGGUGGUCUGUACAGAGAACGGCGGAGGUUAGGGAUUGCAGAACACUGGGUGUAUUUCUCCUGCAAUGUGCAGGAGUGGGAGGCAUAUGACCCAUACCGUGAACGGUGGAUGACGCUCCCAAGGAUGCCACCUAAUGAGUGUUUCAUGUGCUCAGACAAGGAGUCACUAGCUGUGGGCACUGAACUUCUGGUGUUUGGCAAGGAGAUUCUAUCACAUAUUGUUCUUAGCUAUAGCAUUCUGACCAACUCAUGGUCAAGAGGCGUUGAAAUGAAUGCCCCUAGAUGUUUGUUUGGUUCGGCUAGUUUUGGAGAGAAGGCAAUUAUAGCUGGUGGCAUGGAUUCUUUUGGGAGUGUGCUUAGUUCUGCUGAGCUGUACAACUCUGAAACUAAAAGUUGGGUUACACUUCCGAGCAUGAACAAGCGUAGGAGAAUGUGUUCUGGAGUCUUCAUGGAUGGCAAGUUUUAUGUUAUUGGUGGAAUGGCCAGUAACACGGAGGUGCUGACAUGCGGAGAAGAGUAUGAUUUAGAGAAGGGUACCUGGAGGUUGAUAGAGAACAUGUCAGAGGGUCUCAAUGGUGCCAGUGGUGCUCCUCCCCUUGUUGCUGUAGUUGACAAUGAGCUAUAUGCGGCUCAAUAUGCAGGAAAACUAGUAAGGAAGUAUAAUAAAAGUGAUAACACAUGGACAACUCUUGGGGAGUUACCAGAGCGCCCAGAAGCUGUGAAUGGCUGGGGCAUUGCAUUCCGAGGAUGCGGAGAGCGGCUCCUGGUGAUUGGUGGACCAAGAGUGCUGGGCGGCGGGAUGAUUGAACUCCAUUCGUGGAUCCCAAGGGAGGGCCCCUUGCAAUGGAACAUGAUCGGAAGCAAACCUUCUGGCAACUUUGUUUAUAACUGUGCUGUCAUGGGGUGCUGA